rnacentral:ncRNA from 1 species
AUCUCUUGUUGUAUGGCUUAGAAAAAAAUUCUCGGUUGCAGAUGAGUUAUAGCGGCUGGACACGAAGACCUAAAAAAUAGUCAAAUGAGAACUUUGAAGACUGAAGUGGGGAAAGGUUCCAUGUGAACAAUACUUGGACAUGGGUUAGUCGAUCCUAAGAGAUGUGGAAGCCCUGUAUCAAGGGUGCACUAUGCACAGACAUCAAAAGGGAAUCAGGUCAAUAUUCCCGAAUCGAGACAUGGCGACAGUCGACAACGUUAGGAAAUCCAGAGACGUCGUUAGGGGCCCUGGGAAGAGUUAUCUUUUCUUUUUAACAACUUUCCCACAUUGAAAUCGGCUCAACCAGAGAUAGGGUCCAAUAGCUGUAAGAGAAUCACACGUCUUGCGGUGUCCGGUACACCCUCAGAGGCCCUUGAAAAUUUGGAGGACUGAGUACCGUCCAUGCUCGAUCGUACUCAUAAUCGCAUCAGGUCUCUAAGGUGAACAACCUCUGGUCAAUAGAACAAUGUAGGUAAGGGAAGCCGACAAAACGGAUCCAUAACUUCGGGAAAAGGAUUGGCUCCGAGGGCUAGGCCUAGGGGUCUGUGUUCUCAACCCAUGUGUUGUUGGUAGUUUGCCCGAGCAGCUAUCACGACGAGGGUGAGUAGUCGCGUGCCGAUUGGGCUACGAGCGUAGAAUGUCCCCUUGCAUGGGAUUUUCCCUAGGUGGAGAACAAUCAACUCAGAACUUGUACGGACAAGGGGAAUUUGACUAUUUAAUUAAAAUAAAUCAUUGCGAUGGUACCUGCGGAUGUUGACGCAAGGUGAUUUCUGCCCAGUGCUCUAAAUGUCAAACUGAAGAAAUUCAACCUAGCACGGGUAAACGACGGGAGUAACUAUGACUCUCUUAUGUUGAAAUAAUGUAACUGCAAAGAGUAUUCUAAUUAUUAUUUAUCGGAUCAAUCCCCAUUGUGGAUUGAUCAUGUCGGUUAUUAUAAUAGGACCAAAUCCCCUUUUGUGGAUUGGUCAAAAGACAAUUGUAAUAGGAAGAAUAAGGAGUCGGCCCCAACAGAUAUUAAAGAGGCCCAGAAAUAUAAUAAAGGUGGGUUUACCCACCCAGUUUGAGAAGUCGACCCUGCUAGUGAAGAGACACUUCACACGUGCUAGACUUGUAUAAAUAAAGAGGCCAACGCCUCACUUAGACACACAACUCACUUGCUCAUUGAGAGACAAGUUUAAGAUCUGCUACUAGAGAAGAAUGAGAGAGAGAGUGGCACAUAUCUGGGAGAGGAAUUUCUGUAUUAGUUUAAGAGAUCUCUUGGCAUUGUAUUGGCUAUCUAUAUUAAGGAAGUUUUGCUGGGUUUUCUUCCCUUAGAGGGUUUCCCAGGAUAAACGUUGUGUCUCUUGUGAUUGUGUAUUUCUCAGUGAUCUUGGAUUAUGCUAUUGUUAUCUAAUGAAAUGAAAACAACUAUAAUAAUGGCUUAAACAUUAACAUGGUAUCAUAGCUAAGCUUAAGGAAGCAUCUUUCACAAGUGAAAAACGUCACUGUUGUCAUACAUGAAAAUGAUGGCUUUUUGAUGGUGAAGCUUUUCAGCCCCAAAACCAUCUAGAAAAGUGCGCCCUCCCCUAGGGAUCAGUUUGGCACUCUCAGCGCACCUUUUCAGUGGCUGGAUCUCCCAGAAAGUGAAACCCUAGUUUCACAAAGUACCAGAAAACCAGUGUGCUAGAAGUACCAGAGUACCAGAGGUACCAGAAGCACCAGUCCAUAAAUCCACAUAUCAAAUUUGGAGGAGGAAAAGUUGGAUUUUCUCAGAUCCAAACACACCAGGCUACUUGCCUCAGCCAAGUGCACCUCCUGGUAAGUUCACAUUUUGAUUUUAAGCACUUUCAUUUUUCAGUCAUUUUCCUAGCUCCAGGUAGAGAUGUCUGCAAGCGUUAAGCUUGUUGACAAGCUAGAAGGAGUGGAUUGGCCUUUUUCUUGAAGAGAAAUGACCUAGAAAGAUUCGUCAAAGAAGAAGUACCAGAACCCGUCGAUGUUGCAGAAAAGGCAAAGAAUCAAAAUGACACAAUAAGGGCUAAAAGAAUCAUUGCAUAUUCAAUCAAAGACCACCUGAUUCCUUAUGUGUCAUCUAAGAAGACCCCUAAAGAAAUGUUUGAUGCCUUGACCAAACUAUAUGAAGGAAAUAACAUAAACCAUAAGAUGAAUCUAAGAACUCAACUGAAGAAUACAAGGAUGUAGAAAGGAGAAAUGAUUUAGGAAUACUUCUCCAGAAUCUCAGAAUUCAAAGAACAACUAGAAGCUAUUGGAGAUACCAUAGACGAAGACAAACUCAUAAUGACGGCCC